CAGUCGCCACGGGAAUACGUAGGUGGCAAGCGUUGUCCGGAUUUAUUGGGCGUAAAGCGAGCGCAGGCGGUUUCUUAAGUCUGAUGUGAAAGCCCCCGGCUCAACCGGGGAGGGUCAUUGGAAACUGGGAGACUUGAGUGCAGAAGAGGAGAGUGGAAUUCCAUGUGUAGCGGUGAAAUGCGUAGAUAUAUGGAGGAACACCAGUGGCGAAGGCGGCUCUCUGGUCUGUAACUGACGCUGAGGCUCGAAAGCGUGGGGAGCGAACAGGAUUAGAUACCCGCGUAGUCCCUGUCUCUUAUAC
rnacentral:rRNA from 1 species